GAAAAUCCUAGAAGGAUUGUGGUUUCAAAUACUGCCAGUGGCAUACAAGCCUUUGACCUGACUACUGAGACAAAUGACACUGGAAAAAGUCCCUAAAAGAACAAAAAGCCAGAACAAAACUGACCAGAACUGGGCCAUCUUUGCAACAUCACUGGAAUGAAAUGCCUCAUUUCAAGGUGUAUUUAAGAAUGAUAGAGAAAAAGAAUCUUCAGUCUGAUGACAUAUACGAGUCAGGUGGAUGAAGACUGUAAAACAGAAGAAAAAAAAAGUUGCCUAAUUUAUCAGUCUCACAAAAGGCUUUGAAGCAGACAGAAAUAUUGAAGAGAGAUGAACAUUUAAUGUGAAAGCAGUGGAAAGCAAAUAAGGCCCUGGAGACCUGUGUUUCUCAGAAAAGUGUGUUAAAAAGCUUGUACGAA